UCCAGAAUAAACUGAAAGGCUACGGCUCUCAGGGCAGAGCCACCACGUCAGAGCAACAGGCCUUUUCAUUCCUCUAAUCCUCCACCUAUACAGAUGAUGUAGGGCCAGAAAAGACGACUCUGUUAUCCAGACAGGCUCCUGUGCUUCGCAGAAGUGUUCACAACAUAGAAAUCAUUGACUCGUGACAAUCAGACGUUAGGAAAGAACAGAACUCAUUUGAUUCCUGUGCCAUUUUCAAGCUGACGAGUAUUGCAAUCCUGUGUGUGGAAUGAGAAGAAAUCAGAUCCUCUGGUAUGCUAGCUAAGGGAACUGUAUAAAUAGAGGGAUUCUUCCCCCUCAUUCUGCAGAGGAGCAC